UUUUACUGUUAUGGUUUAUUUUUGGAUUUAGUCUUGUGCUAACCAUUUUACUGACACUGGUGUGAUACAUCAGUAUUUAAAUGAUCUGGACUAACAUCCACAGUCUGACAUUUGUGCCUUCAAUGUAGCAUUAUUUUUGAUUACAUUUAACACUGCUGGGCUUUUGGAGAGCUUGAAACGCCUAUGCAGUAACAAUGGUUAUCACAUUGAAUGGGGAAUUAGUUUUAACUGAGAAGGUCAUUUUAUGUUGCGGAUUUCCAUAAAUAAUUGCUACUAAUGACAGAAUAGGAAAUUCCAAAUAACACACUUUCACUAAUUUAUUCAAAUCUAAUAUUAAAGAGAAAAUCAUCCCCAACAUUUGUUUAUGCUGCCUGGGAUCACAUACUAUAAAUCCAUCCUAUGAAAAAUGCUGUUGUGUUUUGUGUGGCAGGGCACCUUUAAACGGAACCAUGCAUGACUAAUGAUAACUCCUUGUGUUCAAAAAUACUCCAGGACUCCUAUGAAGCUACACAGCAGUUUUUCAUUUCUGGUCAACUGCAAAACCACAUGACCGCAUGACAAAUAACUAAUUAUAAACUAACAUUUAGCUUAAGAGUCAACCUUGGCUGUAGCUCUUAAAAUAAUAUCUGCAUAACUAAUGCAGGGAUUGUGAUAAAAAGAGGUGUGGACUUCACAUUGGCAUCUUUAGAUUUAAACUUCCAUGGCAAAGUAGAGCACAAGUUGUCGUGUUAUCAUGGCUUUGCAGCUUUGGCAGGACAUCUUGAAAAAGAAGCUUCUGUUUUGUUGCUGUAUUUAUUAGACUGUGACGCAUUUAUUUUUGCUUUACACCGAUAGGAAAAAUUCUUGCGUGCGUGUUCCUUCAAUUCUAAGAAUAGGUAAAGCACGAGGUACUCUCAGGACUCAAGGAAUAUUGUCGACUCUCCAGGGAAUGUAAAACUGCCUUUGGGAGCUCAGAACAGUAUUUACCCUGUGGUGUAAUUAAAGUUACAUUUGUAACAGCACAUAAAAAGUACGUGACUCCUGUUGAGUGAUUAUUAUUUUUUGUUUAAUA